GCGCCGGUCUAAGUUCUUUGGAACGGGACGUCAUAGAGGGUGAGAAUCCCGUAUGCGACCGGUGAUCCAAGUCCAUGUGAAACUCCUUCGACGAGUCGAGUUGUUUGGGAAUGCAGCUCAAAACGGGUGGUAAAUUUCAUCUAAAGCUAAAUACCGGCCAGAGACCGAUAGCGCACAAGUAGAGUGAUCGAAAGAUGAAAAGCACUUUGGAAAGAGAGUCAAAAAGUACGUGAAAUUGUUGAAAGGGAAGCGCUUGCAACCAGACCUGCCCGCGGGCGAUCAGCCGUCCCUCUGGGACGGUGCAUGCGUCCGUGAACAGGCCAGCAUCGGUCCGGGCGGCCGGAUAAAGGCCUUGGGAACAUAGCUCCUCUUGGGGAGUGUUAUAGCCCUCGGUGUAAUGUGGCCAGCCUGGAUCGAGGACCGCGCUUCGGCUAGGAUGCUGGCGUAAUGGUUGUAAGCGGCCCGUCUUGAAACACGGACCAAGGAGUCUAACAUCUAUGCGAGUGUUCGGGUGUUAAACCCGUGCGCGUAAUGAAAGUGAACGGAGGUGGGAACCCCUGAGGGCGCACCAUCGACCGAUCCUGAUGUCUUCGGAUGGAUUUGAGUAUGAGCAUAGCUGUUGGGACCCGAAAGAUGGUGAACUAUGCCUGAAUAGGGUGAAGCCAGAGGAAACUCUGGUGGAGGCUCGCAGCGGUUCUGACGUGCAAAUCGAUCGUCAAAUUUGGGUAUAGGGGCGAAAGACUAAUCGAACUAU
rnacentral:rRNA from 1 species